rnacentral:rRNA from 1 species
CCUACGGGAGGCAGCAGUGAGGAAUAUUGGGCAAUGGGGGCAACCCUGACCCAGCCAUGCCGCGUGAGUGAAGAAGGUCUUCGGAGUGUAAAGCUCUUUCGGACGUGACGAGGAUGACGGUAGCGGCGAAAGAAGCACCGGCAAACUUCGUGCCAGCAGCCGCGGUAAUACGAAGGGGGCGAGCGUUGUUCGGAAUUACUGGGCGGAAAGGGAGUGUAGGCGGAUAUGUAAGAUAGCGGUGAAAUGCCGGGGCUCAACCCCGGAACUGCCAUUCUGACUAUGUAUCUAGAGUAAUGGAGAGGAUAGCGGAAUCCCCAGUGUAGCGGUGAACUUCGUAGAUAUUGGGUAGAACCCCGGUGGCGACGGCGGCUCUCUGGCCCUUUACUGACGCUGAGGCUCGAAAGCCUGGGGAUCAAACAGGAUUAGAUACCCGGGUAGUC